CCUACGGGUGGCUGCAGUGGGGAAUAUUGGACAAUGGGCGAAAGCCUGAUCCAGCCAUGCCGCGUGUGUGAAGAAGGCCUUCGGGUUGUAAAGCACUUUCAGUGGGGAAGAAAGCCUUGGGGCUAAUACCCUCGAGGAAGGACAUCACCCACAGAAGAAGCACCGGCUAACUCCGUGCCAGCAGCCGCGGUAAUACGGAGGGUGCGAGCGUUAAUCGGAAUUACUGGGCGUAAAGCGCGCGUAGGCGGUCUGAUAAGCCGGUUGUGAAAGCCCCGGGCUCAACCUGGGAACGGCAUCCGGAACUGUCAGGCUAGAGUGCAGGAGAGGAAGGUAGAAUUCCCGGUGUAGCGGUGAAAUGCGUAGAGAUCGGGAGGAAUACCAGUGGCGAAGGCGGCCUUCUGGACUGACACUGACGCUGAGGUGCGAAAGCGUGGGUAGCAAACAGGAUUAGAUCCCCGGUAGUC
rnacentral:rRNA from 1 species